rnacentral:rRNA from 1 species
CGAACGGGUGAGUAACGCGUGAGCAACCUGCCUCAUACAACGGGAUACCCGAGGGAAACUUCGGUUAAUACGGUAUAAGACCACACUACCGCAUGGUAGAGGGGUAAAAGGAGAAAUCCGGUAUGAGAUGGGCUCGCGUCGCAUUAGCUAGUUGGUGAGGUAACGGCCCACCAAGGCGACGAUGCGUAGCCGACCUGAGAGGGUGAUCGGCCACAUUGGGACUGAGAUACGGCCCAGACUCCUACGGGAGGCAGCAG